UACGAAGGUGGCAAGCGUUGUUCGGAUUUACUGGGCGUACAGGGAGCGUAGGCGGUUGGAUAAGCCCUCCGUGAAAUCUCCAGGCUUAACCUGGAAAGUGCAGAGGGGACUGUUCAGCUAGAGGAUGGGAGAGGAGCGCGGAAUUCCCGGUGUAGCGGUGAAAUGCGUAGAGAUCGAGAGGAACACCGGUGGCGAAGGCGGCCUUCUGGACAGUGACUGACGCUGAGACGCGAAAGCGUGGGGAGCAAACAGG
rnacentral:rRNA from 1 species